rnacentral:rRNA from 1 species
UACCUACGGGAGGCAGCAGUGAGGAAUAUUGGUCAAUGGGCGAGAGCCUGAACCAGCCAAGUCGCGUGAGGGAAGACGGUCCUAUGGAUUGUAAACCUCUUUUGCCGGGGAGCAAAAAGCGGUACGUGUACCGCAUCGAGAGUACCCGGAGAAAAAGCAUCGGCUAACUCCGUGCCAGCAGCCGCGGUAAUACGGAGGAUGCGAGCGUUAUCCGGAUUUAUUGGGUUUAAAGGGUGCGCAGGCGGGCUAUUAAGCCGGCGGUAAAAAUUCAAGGCUCAACCCUGUCGAGCCGUCGGAACUGGCAG